GGGAAUUUUCCGCAAUGGGCGAUAGCCUGACGGAGCAAUGCCGCGUGGAGCUGGAAGGCCUACGGGUCGUCAACUUCUUUUCUCGGAGAAGAAACAAUGACGGUAUCUGAGGAAUAAGCAUCGGCUAACUCUGUGCCAG
rnacentral:rRNA from 1 species